AAUACUGGGAAGACCCUUCUUAGC
rnacentral:siRNA from 1 species